rnacentral:tRNA from 1 species
GGGCCUAUAGCUCAGCUGGUUCAGAGCAUCUGCCUUACAAGCAGAGGGUCACAGGUUCGAAUCCUGUUGGGCCCA